UAUUCUCAACUCCCUUUGAUUCUGUCAAAGGUGAGCUUGGACCUUGGAGGUCUGCUGGCUGCAAAGUCAGCUCCUCUGAAAAGCAUUGGUGAAGGUUGUGUGCAUUAAUCGGCCUUUCGGUGUGAUAAUGAUCACCGUGGCUGGCUUGCUAUAACACCUGCACCUGACUGUUCUUCUGUUCACUCAGAAAACACUUUGACC
rnacentral:misc_RNA from 1 species